rnacentral:lncRNA from 1 species
GAACAAGGAAAAGUCUGGCCGGAAGCCAGUGGUCCCGGAUGUCGCAAAAGGGAGGUACCGGAAGUAUUUCACUAGCAAAGCUCUCAUAUGAAAUUUAUAAAGUCUAUCAUUAAAAAAAGGCCAGUGAUAAGACAUCGUAAUUUUGAUAAUUGCAAUAUAAAAAUUAUACUUUUUUAUUGGAAAAAGUUUAAUACAAUAACAAGGAUGGGAACAAAUGAAGAUUUGUAUGAUCUACUUUACAAUAAUACGCUUUUCUUGUUCUAAUAACAAGAUAGCAAACAAUGCAAAAUAUCAUUAAAAAUGUAUUUUAUUAUAAAUAUUAUAUAUCCCUUUUUUUUGUUGGUCGUAUACUUCUAUCGAUAAAGUACUCAAAUGAAUGUUUACAAUGUGACAGGUAUCUAUACAUUUAACCUAGUCACGAUGUAUACGAUUUAAGCUGACACGCGCACAUGCGAGUAAGCAAAAAGUUACGCUCGCCUACGCUCGAGGCGCCUGCUGUUCCAAGUAUAAGCGUGGCAAGGUAGAGCAAAUGAAGAGACGGGAAGAGACGGGAAGAGAAGAGAAGACGUAAAACGCACGGUCAACGGCCUGUUCUUUGCGGGAAUUCUAAAUACAUUUAACGUACAAGCCAAUGCGUUACCGUUACGGUUGCACUGUUACUAGAAAAGUUCACUGGUCCUUUUCUCUGGUUAUCUUUGAUAAAGUUAAAUGUGCUCGACCGAAUUUAUCUUCUCAAUUUUCGUAUGUAUAAUACAUGUGUAAGUUUGUUUUAAACUGUGAAAUUUCGAUUUUCUUCAUAAUCAAAUACGUUAAUUGAACGUUACAAUAUAUACCUUAUAACAUUUGAAUGAUUAUUCAAAUGUUUUCAUAACGUCACGUGUUAAUUAAACUUUUGACGCUUUUAUUUUGUAGAGAGUUUGUUAAAAUAGUUUUUAUACAUUUUAUUUUAGAGAAAUCUAUUAUACAUAUUAUAUCUUAUCUAUUAUAUAUAUAUUAUAGAUACGUUAAAAAACUGACAGCAAGGUAGUCACUAUAUAUCUUAAAGAAAAAUCCUUCAUGAUUGUUAUAAUGGUUAAUGAAUAACUCUUUUCAUGGUAAUUUAUCAAACACAACACGCGUUUAAAAACUUCAAACUCUUUGCAAACGUGAACUUCAGGAGAAGGGAGUUAAAAAUAAAAUUAGAAGCAUUAUAGCUUUGCCGUGUGCUGGUGUUGGCGGAAGAAUAUCCCUUGUAUUUAUGGACGUUUUAUAUUUUUAUAAAUGAACUGCUAAACAGCUUUGAUGAGACUGACUGUCAAGCAGAUUAUCUUCGCCAUCUUUUUCUAAUAGAUUUCUAAUUCAUCAAACUCAUCGUCAAAAUAAAGAAUAUAAAAUAGAAAAAUGCAAACGGAAAAAGUAUGACAUAACUAUUAAAUCAAUAAUACAAUUUAACUAAUAUUUGAUACUUAAAAUAACAAUUAUUGUAUUUGAAAAUAAUAGAAAUGUUUAAUUUCAUAUUCUCUUUCUUAAAAAUAUGUAGAAGCUUCUUGUCAGUGUUGAUGGACAUAUGACAUCAAUGGUGUCACGAGUGUGGUUCGACCCAGCCAACCCUCGAACUCACCACAGUCGAGAACAUAAAAUCGGCUGUGGAAAAUCGUUCGGAUAGAUAUAUAUUUUCUCCGUAUAUUGCACAUAUUUUUAGAUAAGCAGCGAAAUAAUACGAAAUUAGAACGCUCGCGGCCUUUGUACGAGCCGACGUCGUCAUUAGUCGUUUGAAGGCUCACGAUGUACGUUACGUUACGUAUGUUCCAAUCUACCAUCGUUCUAUCCCUGGGAGGCAUUAUAAUCGCCAGUAUCCAGAAUAGUAAUUUAAGCGUGUGUGGCCUCUCCGACUAAUCUCAGCUCGCUUUCAUCGGUUAUUAAAAUUCGUAUAUCUAAUGGUAACCAAAUGUAUUUACUAAUUAAUCUAACCGAUAUUCGUAACGCAAUUUACUUUACCUCUUAUUCUUAUUUCAUGCUUAAUAUAAAUAUAUAUGUAUACGCGUAAGUAAAUGCGUACAAAGGAUGUUUGAAAAUUGUGACAAAUAAAUUAGUUUUAAGACAUGUACUAUUCGUAAAAGCAAAUAGAAAAUAUUACGAAUCUAA